rnacentral:rRNA from 1 species
CAGGACGAACGCUGGCGGCACGCUUAACACAUGCAAGUCGAACGGAGAUAUUUGGUUUACUGAGAUAUCUUAGUGGCGGACGGGUGAGUAACACGUGAGCAACCUGCCUUUGAGAGAGGGAUAGCUUCUGGAAACGGAUGGUAAUACCUCAUGACAUACUUUUAUCGCAUGGUAGAAGUAUCAAAGAUUUAUCACUCAGAGAUGGGCUCGCGUCUGAUUAGCUAGUUGGUGAGGUAACGGCUCACCAAGGCGACGAUCAGUAGCCGGACUGAGAGGUUGAACGGCCACAUUGGGACUGAGACACGGCCCAGACUCCUACGGGAGGCAGCAGUGGGGAAUAUUGCACAAUGGGGGAAACCCUGAUGCAGCGAUGCCGCGUGGAGGAAGAAGGUUUUCGGAUUGUAAACUCCUGUCUUAAAGGACGAUAAUGACGGUACUUUAGGAGGAAGCUCCGGCUAACUACGUGCCAGCCGCCGC